GGGCCCGCACAAGCGGUGGAGCAUGUGGUUUAAUUCGAUGCAACGCGAAAAACCUUACCUACUCUUGACAUACUUGGAAGCUCUUGUAAUGAGAGUGUGCCUUUUGGAACCAAGAUACAGGUGCUGCAUGGCUGUCGUCAGCUCGUGUCGUGAGAUGUUCCGUUAAGUCGGAUAACGAGCGCAACCCUUACCCUUAUUGCCAGCGAUUCGGUCGGGAACUAUAAGGGGACUGCCGGUGAUAAACCGGAGGAAGGUGAGGACGACGUCAAGUCAUCAUGGCCCUUACGAGUAGGGCUACACACGUGCUACAAUGGGGAAUACAGACGGACGCUAAGCCGCGAGGUGGUGCUAAUCCUAAAAAGUUCUUCGUAGUCCGGAUUGGAGUCUGCAACUCGACUCCAUGAAGUCGGAAUCGCUAGUAAUCG
rnacentral:rRNA from 1 species